UGAUUGUACACAGGACGAAGUGGUGUCACAAGGUUCAUCCAGCCAUAUGCAGGAGGCCCUUGAAGCAGUACAAGAAUGGUCUAAUAGGAACAAAAUGACGAUAAAUUCGAAGAAAACAAAAGAUAUGUGGAUAUGUUUUAACACAGCAAUGCCGGUACCAGAACCAUUGGUCAUUGGAAACGAGGUAGUGGAAAGAGUAAAUUCUCAUAAACUGUUGGGUGUCUGGCAUCAAAACAAUUUGAAAUGGAACUGUCAUGUUAAGAACAUUGUAAGGAAAGCAAAUAAACGAAUGUUUAGUCUGAGAGAAUGCCGUAGGGCGAAUCUUCCUCGUGAGGUCGGUAUUACAUGUUAUGAAUCCAAGAUUAGACCUGUUUUAGAAUAUGCAGCUCCGAUAUGGGGUGGUUUACCACAAUAUCUCAUUGAUGAAAUAGAGAGCAUUCAAAACAGAUGCAUCAAAAUCCUCGGCACAUCUCGGUGCAACUUUGAAACGCUAGAACAAAGAAGGGCAC